GGUGUUCAUGAGCAAGAAUGUGCAUUGUAAAACAGAGAACGAGACUACUAACAAUAAACCAGUGUCAGUCCUCAAGGAAGAAGUUGUCUCAAUUUAUAAUGAAAACUUCGCUGACAUUCCCAAGGACAGAGAGCCAUAUUAUGUUAAAGUUCAACGAUGUAUCAUCGAUAAAGAUAAAAUUCCUACAUGUUCAUAUUGUUGGCCCCAACCUAUGACAUUGACAGAAGUCGAGAUUGUCGUUCCUGAUUUAAAAAACUACACAAAGUUUUACAAAUAUGUUGUAUAUAAUCACACUUCUUGUUACCUGGAAAAGAACUUAAUAGCCCUGAAGUUUAAUCUACACAAGAAUCUAUCUUCAAACGAAAGUAAGGACUUCUGUAUUUAAUUGAAAUUUAAACUGAGAUCUAAAUUU